rnacentral:rRNA from 1 species
AUUGAACGCUGGCGGCAGGCCUAACACAUGCAAGUCGAGCGAGUGGCGGACGGGUGAGUAAUGUCUGGGAAACUGCCUGAUGGAGGGGGAUAACUACUGGAAACGGUAGCUAAUACCGCAUACCAUCAGAUGUGCCCAGAUGGGUUUAGCUAGUUGGUGGGGUAACGGCGCACCAAGGCGACGAUCCCUAGCUGGUCUUAGAGGAUGACCAGCCACACUGGAACUGAGACACGGUCCAGACUCCUACGGGAGGCAGCAGUGGGGAAUAUUGCACAAUGGGCGAAAGCCUGAUGCAGCCAUGCCGCGUGUGUGAAGAAGGCCUUCGGGUUGUAAAGCACUUUCAGCGGGGAGGCGUUACUCGCAGAAGAAGCACCGGCUAACUCCGUGCCAGCAGCCGCGGUAAUAC